AUUGAACGCUGGCGGCAGGCCUAACACAUGCAAGUCGAACGGUAACAGGAAACAGCUUGCUGUUUCGCUGACGAGUGGCGGACGGGUGAGCAAUGUCUGGGAAACUGCCUGAUGGAGGGGGAUAACUACUGGAAACGGUAGCUAAUACCGCAUAACGUCGCAAGACCAAAGAGGGGGACCCCCCGGCCUCUUGCCAUCGGAUGUGCCCAGAUGGGAUUAGCUUGUUGGUGGGGUAACGGCUCACCAAGGCGACGAUCCCUAGCUGGUCUGAGAGGAUGACCAGCCACACUGGAACUGAGACACGGUCCAGACUCCUACGGGAGGCAGCAGUGGGGAAUAUUGGACAAUGGGCGAAAGCCUGAUGCAGCCAUGCCGCGUGUAUGAAGAAGGCCUUCGGGUUGUAAAGUACUUUCAGCGGGGAGGAAGGGAGUAAAGUUAAUACCUUGGCUCAUUGACGUUACCCGCAGAAGAAGCACCGGCUAACUCCGUG
rnacentral:rRNA from 1 species